UUUUUAGAAAACUUUAUUCUUAAGCUUUUCUAAAAAGAGGUAAUUUUAGGUCUGCGUGAAAAUCCAGAGAAAAUUAGGGUUUGGGAGUCGGUUACGCGCGAGGAAGGUAUUAGCACCCUCGCGACGCCCAAAAUUGGUAUCUCGUUAAACACAUGUUGUCUUAAUUUUCAAAAAUGCGAACUCAAUGUAAAGUUUAGUUAUGAUCCGAAAAAAAACGAGAAAUUUUAGUUUAUUCCGGUUUUUGAGAAAGAUAUGCCGUUUUAACACGAGUCAAUUGACGUUCACCCAACAUAGCGAUGAACUCGAUGACUUAAUGUUUAAUCGGUACAUUUCCUUGUUUAUUGAAAUUAAUUAGCAAAACAAGUAUAUGAUUUUUGAAAUAAUGCAAAAUAAAUUGAUAUGAAAUAAAAAUAAAUAAAUGAUAGGGCUAGGCAUAUAUUGAAACAAAUAAUCGAGGUGACAAUAAUAUUAGUAAAUAAUAACCGUGCAUGCAAGAUCAAAUGCAAUGUUAGCAUUGAAUACGAGAACGUAAUAAGAAUACAAUGAAUACACAUAUGAAGAUAAUUAAGAGUAUAUACGUAAAAUAUUUAUAUAAAUGGUAGUAGUGUUAGAAAUAUAUUAUACGUAUAGUGUUUGAAGUACAUAUAAGAUAGUAAAAAAGUACAUAACUAGCAACAAUAAAAUAAAAUAUAUACAUAUAUGUGUAAAAAAUAAUAUUAUAAAAAGGGUAUGUAUACAUGUAUAAAAAAAUAAAUGUAUUAACAAUGAAUAUAAUAGGGGUAAGAAAACAAGUAUAUACACAAUAUAUAUGUAACGUGGUACUAAGGAUAUAUAUAUACAAUACAGUAUUUAAAAUAAUAUUUACGUAAUAUAAAAAUAUAAUAUUAAAAGGUAUAUGUACAUACGUAAUAUAUAAAUACAUAUAUAAUAUAAUGUUAAAAUAUUUACAUAAUAUAUAUCAUAAUAAUGUGGAAAACGAAUAUUAAUAAUGUUACAUACAUGAAAUAGUAUAUAUAAGAAAACAUAACUAAUAAUAAAAUAUACAUACAACGACAUAAAAGUAUAUGAACAGUAAGAAAUAUACAAUACAUAACAUUAAAAAUAUAUAUAAUAAUAUACACAAAUAUAAUAUAUAUAUAUUAAAAUAAUAAUAUGAAAAAGAAAAGCAUCCGUACAUUAUAUAAGUACAUACAUGAAGAUAUACACUAAUGUACAAUAAUAAUAAUAAUAAUAAUAUUGAAAUACAAAAAAUGUAAUAUUUAAUAAAGAAACAAAAACAAAUAAAAAAGGACUAAAAUUGAACUAAUAACAAAGUUUUGGGGCAAAUGUGAAAGGAAAUAAAGAGAAAAGGGCUUAUUUGAGCGUGCACAAAACAUAGGUGGACCGAAACAACAAUUAUUCCUUUCCAUUAAAACGCAGCACAUUGGCGGGGACUAAAUCGAAAAGCGCGAGAAAUUAUGGGGCCAAAUUGGAAAUAAGAAAAAUGACUUAAUUGCAAAACCCUGAAAAAGCGGAAGGACUGCGCGCAUAAAUAUCCCAUUCAAACGAAAACACGCGGAUCCUCUAGCGGGUCGGGUCGGAUGGGUCGGGCAUGGUCAAAACGACGUCGUUUUGGGGGAAGGGGAAUCCGGCCAGGGGGCCGGUCACCGGACGGCCACCGGAGGCUCGCCGGCGCCGGCGCCGGCCACCGCACGCGGUGGCCGGAAAAGGUAAAAAAUAUUAUUUUUAUUUUUUUUUAUUUUUUUAUGUUUAUACUUUUUUGUAUUUUUUAUAUAUAUUAAUAUUUAUGUAUGGAAAAUAGGUUUAGAGAACGAGACUAACAAAAUAAAGAAAAAGAUUACCUUAUAUUUGUAGUUUUUGAUUUUUUUGACAACUUUGAACUUCUGAUUUCAGUAUUAAAGUCACGGCUUGUACAUGUGUUUCAUUCUAUCUUGGUUAUUGAUUUCUUUUGAACACUUGAAUGAAUGUUAAAAGCGAAAACAGAAAAGAAAAACCCCCCUGGUGUUCAAUUUUGCUUGUGGCUUUUAUAGCCAAAAAUACAAUAUUCUGUUAAUGUUUAUUGCUCCAUUUUUUGUCCUUUUCCUUUGCUUGUUUGCAGGUGCGGCAAAGGCAUGGUGGUGGUAGACGGUAUGGGGGUGUGUGAUGGUGCUGGUGGCAGACAGCAUGGGAGAGUGGGAGUGGUGCUGGUGGCAGACAGCAUGGGAGAGUGGGAAGAGGCAAGUGGGAGUUUAGGGUUUUGGGAUUGGGCUUGGAUGUUGGGCUAGGUUAAUUUUAGGUUUUGGGUUUGAGGAUGGGUUAAAUGGGCUUGGUAUUAGUGGGCCAAAAUUGGCCUACUACAUACGUGAACUGCUACAUGGAUAUAUGUUCCUCAAUGUUAAUUUUUCCAUUCGUUUUAAGAUGAUUUAAUAAAUAAUGUAAGAUUAAGAGAAAAAAGAUAAAAAGUUAAAUUUAGGGCCAAAUAUCAAAUCAAGUCAAAGUUUAAAAAUUAAAAGAAAAAUUUUAAUAAUUAUUAAAUAUAAGAACGCAUAAAAAUAAUAUUUAAAUAUCAAAUUUUUAUUAAUACAAAUAACUUGGUUUUUUUUAAAUAAAUACAAAUAAAUUGGUUAAUAUCAUUUUUUCUAAAUGGGAUUAAAAUUCUGCUCAAAUUGGCUUAAAUUAAAAAUGCUAAACUCGAGUCUGAUCCAGUCCAUCCGUAUUAAAUAUUUUAGACUAUUUUUUAUAUAAAAAUAAAUUUUAAAAAAUAUAAUACAUCAAAUAUAAUAAAAUAUUAAAAUAAAUGUUUCCCAACAAAUUGAAAAUAUAUUAAAAAAAUCUUUAUACUUAAAUAACAUUAAGAUAAUUGUAACUUAGCAAGUUAAUGUUUCUAAAAUUAUAACAAAAUUAAUAAUAAAAUAAGAGUUAUAAAAUAUUUAAAUAAUAACAACAAAACAGUAGCAAUAGAAUAGUUAAGUGGUAGCAAAACAAUAGAUUCGGGUCGAGUUUGGGCAAAAAAAUUCUAUUUGAGAUUCUACCCAUUUAGAAAAUAACAUUAUUUUUUGUCUAAGCCUAUUUUUCGGGCCUAUAAUUUUAUUCAAACUCUCUCAUUUUUCAAAUGAACCUUCAAACUUAUACGAGUAGCGCAACCAUAAUGAAUUCUACAUUUCACCCACACAAAGGCACAAUAAUGAAGCAUAUAAAAUUUCAAGCAGCUGGAUUCAAUGGUUUAUGAAUUCGAUGAUAUCUGCUUUGAAAGCUACUGAAAAUUUGAGUAUUCGUAUUUGGUUACGUUGGUAUAAGCAGGGUUGAAAUUCGUUUAAAGUGGCUUUGAAGGUUGAGAGAAGGAUAUAAAGUGUUUUUUAAGUUAUUUGACGAAGUAUAAAAUAGUGGAAAGAGUUUAUUCGAGUCUGAUUUACGAUUUUUUCGGAUAAUUAUCUUUUUAAAUAAAAAUAAGAAAUUGAGUUAUGAUAAGUUUUUUGCACGUGUAUAUUUAGAUGUGAUCAGAGACACUGUUAUCUUAUUAUAAAGUAAGUUAUUAUAUGGGUCUUAUGCAAAGACAAAUGUUAUGGAAAGAGUUAACUUUGAAUACAGUGAUCAUGAAAUGUUCGGCCAGACAAUCCCCCCCCGGUUAACUAUAGAUAAAACGAGCUCUUCCUCAUUUUCUUUUCUGGUCAAGAUGAUUGAUUUGAACGAGAUGAUCACGUAUAUUUUGUGUUAUAAUUGAGAUUAAAUUAUUUUAUAUUUAUAUAACUUUUUAAGACCGGGAAUUAAGCAAAAUCCAAACGUUUUCUUGAUAUAAUAAUCGGACGGUUAAAGGUAGGCAAUGGGUCCAAAUAAUUAUUUCUAUAAACUCUAGGAUGGUCCAUUGGUUCUUGAAAUUUUAUGGCUUUGAAAAUAGGGGAGAAUCCUACUCAAUGUAUAAAUAAAUAAAUAAAUAAAAUCUUAAUCAUCAUUAAUCAACAAACUUCAUAGGGAAAGAUUUGAGGAUAAAUAUUAAAAUUCUACAUGAAUUUUGAUUUAAUGUCUAAUUUAAUACAUAAAUUUUAAUUUCGUACAUUUAUACACAUGAAACUUUGAUUGUAGUUUAAAUAUAUAAAUGAAACUUUAAUUUUGAUUCAAUUAAGCAUAUAUAUAAAUAUUUUUUGUGCAAUAUACAAACAUAAAAUGAUGCAACACCAACAAUUGUGUUAAUAAUUUGUGAGAUUUGAAUUAAAUAAAAAAAUUCAUGUAUAAAAUUGCACAAAAUCAAAGUUCAUGUAUAUAAUUGCACAUUAAACCAAAGUUGAUGUAUAAUUUUGAUAUUUAUCCCAAAGAUUUAUAAUCAAAUUAAAAAAUUAAGGUUAACAAUAGGUAAUAAGUCCCUAUACUUUUAUUUUCAGGAAUUUAAUCUCUUUAUUUUUGAGAUUUCAAAAUUUAGGUCUAUUAAAAUCUUUUUUUGUUGAAUUCAGGUUAAUUACAAUGUCAUUUUUUUAAUUACAUGGCUACUAAGUGAGUAUUUGUUUUAUUUCAAAAUAUCACACUAACAAAUUUAAUAAAAAAAAUAUUGUUAAUAGUUGGACUUAAUUUUGAAAUCUGAAAAGUAGAAUAACUAAAUAUUUGGAAAUAAAAAUACAUGAACUAAAUUUUAAAUGUUUGAAAAGUAUAAGGACUUGUAACAUAUUUUAACAAAAAUUUAAAAAUAAUUUUUUUAACAAUCUCAUUAUAGGUUUUGAUCUGCUUUUUUUAACACAAUGUCUAGAACUACCCAUAACCUCUCUCUAACCCAUAAAUAAGAGAAUAAUGUGCUUUAACACACUCAAACUCACGUUCUCUUGCAUUGACAAUAAUAGAGUUAAAAUUCAAUGGGCUAUAUAUAUAUAUUUAAUCUAGGGCAUAGAUUCCAUAAGGAAAUAUGCUUUGCUUUGGUAAGUGGGACUCCAUGCUUAUGCCAUGGAAUUUGUUCUUAUCUCUUUUCACUCAUUAACAAGCAAUCAUCUUUAUUAAUUUUUUCUUUGUCAUUCUUAUCAAAUAAAUGAUUAAGUAGGUAAUGUGUCAAAAAUUAAAUUAAAUUAUAUCUUAAACAAAUAAAAAAUACAUUCAAUUCAAUGAAUUAUAUACUUGAGGGUCCAUAAUUAGCCACUUUAAUCAAACAAAUCUUAUCAAAUUUCAAGUCUACUUUAAGAAUAUGUGAUUUCUUGAUUUGGAAAAAAGUUAAUAUGACAAAUAAGAGCAUAACGGUUAAAUUUUUUAUUAGUCCCUGUACUUUGUUAUAAUUGUAGAUUUAAUCUUUAUAUUUUAAUUUAUUAAUUUUUAGUCUUUGUACUUUCAAAUUAUAAAAUUUCAAUCCUUACUAGACGAUAACUGUCAAAAUAAUUAAGUUCUGUUAUUUCUAAAAUCUAAUGAGAUAAACAUAUUAUCAUAAGUAUAAUGUCAUGUCAGCUUACUGUUUCCACGUAUUACUCACGAAGAAAAAACCAGUUUCAUUAAUGACUUUCAUUGUCAAUACUGAAAUUUUAAAAAUACGAAAAAUAUAAAAACUUAGAAUGAUUCGAUUAGGGAAUAUGGACUAAAUCUACAACUAUACACAUAAUACGAGACUAGAAUUGAAUUUAACCAACUGAAUUUAAUUGCUUAUUCCACAACUUUCGCAAAUAUAUAAGAACUAGUAGUAAAAUUUAAACAAACUUUGUACCGUAAAUUUCAUUUCAACACGAUUAUACUAUAAUUAUUUUACGAUUUUAACCCAAUUCAUUAUCGAUAACAUCUAAUAUAUCCGUAUUAAACACACAUAGAAAACCAGAAUCUAAAACCCCUUGUAUGUUAAAACUACAUACGUUCUCACAUUUUACAUGCACAAAAAGUGUUUGGGUGACAAAAUCCAUUGCUUUUCUUUUUCCCUCUUUUUUUUUCUUGCUUUUUUUUACUUUUUUUUGUCUUUGUUUUCCUUAUUGCGUUAGGCUUCUCCAUUCAAACCAUGGCUCUCUCUUUUUAGGGGGGGAGGGGCAUGGAGACAAAUUUAUUCCCUUAAUUUUGACAUUUUAUCCUUUUAAUCCUGAUUUUUUUUGACUUUGGUCUUCAACAUUAAAAUUUUAAUUAAAUUAUUUUAUUAUUUUACAAAAAAGUUAACUGGACUGUUAAAGUUUUAAUGACAUCGAUAUUGCAACUAGGUGAUAGUUUCAUUAAGUAGACGUAGAUCACCACACAUUUUACUAUAUUAAUAUAAUUAAAAUUUUAAAAACUCAUUUAAUUUUUUUAUCUUAAAAAAGUAAUUCAACUAAAUUUUAAAACUAAAUAAAGCCAAAGUGAAAACUAAAUUUAUCCUUUAUGCAUUUUUUUUCAUCUUUUUUGCCACACUAUAAGUAAACACCGAACACUUGGAUCUUUAUUGACAAAAAUGGCUCUCUUUAUUUGCUUCUUAUCCCUUCUUCUCUUUUCCUCUGCUACUGCUUGUGAUCGUUGCCUGUACCAAUCCAAGGCUGCUUAUUUCUCCAAAGCCAAUGCACUUUCAUGUAAACUGCCCAUAGUUUUUUCUCUCUCUUUUUUUUUUUUUGUGGUUAAUAUGAUGAAUACCCAGAUUAGUUUUUUACUUUAAAAAUGAAAUUUGGCAAAAACCCAGAUUAUAUUUCAGUGAGAAAUUUUGAGGGUAACAAUCUAAUUUGCAUUUUUGUGUGGCUCUGUUAUUGCAGCUGGAGCUUGUGGAUAUGGCUCCUUGGCAUUAGGCUUAAGUGGUGGCCACCUUGCGGCUGGUGUUUCCUCUCUUUACAAAGAUGGAGCUGGUUGUGGUGCCUGCUUUCAGGUUCGUAUAAGUCAUUUUAAAAGUUUUUGAUGGCUUCUUAUGUUUGAAAUUUUGAGUUUUGUUUUCUCCAAAAAAAAGUGUCGUUAGUGGGGAGUUGACAGAUUUUUCAAUAGGUCAGCAUUCGGUUUAGGAUGCUUAUAUUUGAUUUUAUCUCCGGGUUUUGUUUAUCACCUUCAUCGAGAGCCAUGAAAACUUAACAUUUGCUCUUUGUGAGAUUCAAAUUUGAAUGGCAUAUCUUUGGUGGGUGAAGGUGCUUCGUCCUGAACCCCUCUUAGCUCUCUGCAAAGGUGAGAGACAAAACUCAAAGAUAAAAUCCAACAUAAAUAUCCAGGGCUCAAUACUGACCUCUAUCAACUUUCAACAGAGAACACUUUACAAACUUUUCCCAUAAGUGUCUGGCCUCUCUCAACAAGUUUGUUGAUAUUUUGUUUUUUAAACAUGUUUUGGCAGAUAAGGUGCAAUAAUUCAACACUAUGUAGUAGUAAAGGGACAAACGUGACAAUAACUGAUAUCAAUCACAAUAAUCAAACAGGUUUUGUGCUUAGCACAAGAGCUUUCGUGGCCAUGGCUAACCAUGGUAUGGGCCAACACAUAUUGAAACUUGGAACUGUAGAGGUUGAAUAUAAAAGGUGAGCCUAAUUGAACUUUUUUUAGUUUAGAUUAUAUAUGAAAAAUGCUUCAAUUGAAAGUUGGUUAAUUUCUUAUUUGUCUUGGAAAAACAGGAUACCUUGUGAAUAUAAAAACCAAAACUUAGCUGUUAGAGUUGAAGAAUCAAGCCAAAAAUCAAAUUAUUUGGCAAUUAAAUUGCUGUACCAGGGAGGCCAAACAGAGAUUGUAGCCAUUGAUGUAGCUCAGGUUAAAGUCAAAUUUCAAAGAUUGUUUAUAAUUUUCAAGGUUAAUUUUACUGGACAUCAUCGAACUAUGACCCGAAUUUUAGAUUGGUUUCGAAAUUCCAAAAAGUUUUAAUCAAUUUUUUAAAGUAUUAGUAUAAAAUCAAUCAAGUUCUUCCAUCAGCAGUGGUGGAACAAGCCAGUAAUACUUGGGAGGGUCUAAUUAAAAUUUUUAGAAAAGUUUAAAGGGUCAAAUUAAAAUUUUUCAAAAUUUGCAAAGGGGUUGGAUGUUAAAUUGUGCUCAAAUAUGGCAUGUUGCAAUUCAAAACAUACUGAUCAAAUUAUGAACACGUGUAUAUAUAUUGUAUGGACGACUUAGAUCUAACGCAUCUUAAAAAUAGCCCCUACAUCGUUUUUUUAACAUAUCAAAUCUAUAUAGUAAAUAUAUAGUGUUUACAAAUUGAUCCACGUAUUUUGAAUAUACUCUAUAUCAAAUUGAAACUAGUAUUUAAAGCUUAACCCACAGAAUGACUUAAAUAACACAAUAUUGAUACUUUGAAACUCAAUUUGAAGGUUUUAAACCUUAUGGACUAAUUUAUAAUCUGAGCGAUAGUUCGGGGAUUUCUAGUGUAACUUUCAAAGUAACCCCAUAAUUAUUUUUGCUUGGUAUAUAUUAAUUCCAGGUUGGUUCUUCAAAUUGGAAUUUCAUGAAAAGAAACCAUGGGGCAGUGUGGGAUACAAGUAGGGCUCCAAACGGUGCAUUGCAGUUUAGAUUUGUGGUAACAUCUGGAUAUGAUGGGAAGUGGAUUUGGGCUAAAACUGUGCUUCCAGCUGAUUGGAAAAGUGGAGUUGUUUAUGAUUCCGGGGUUCAAAUCAAUGACAUUGCAAAAGAAGGUUGCUUUCACUGUGAUUACAGCCAUUGGUGAUGAUGACAGAGAUGUUAAUUUUUUGUUUAAGUCUUUGUGUGAAUAGACAUGUUUUAAUAUGGUCAACAUAUAUAGUGAAAUUUGAAUAAUUUAGAAGAUUAUAAAAAAUUUAUGAGUCUUUGAGAGCUUUUGUUUUGGUGAAAGAAAGAUUAAUGUAAUAUGUACAAUUCUAAUAUAGAGACGAGAUUAAAUUGGUUUUUAUAUUAUUAAAUGGAUAAAUUUAGUUAUUGUAUUAUUAAAAAAAUCAAAUAAGGUCAAAUUUCAAUAGAGUUAACAUAUAUUUAAAAAAUGGUUUGGCAUGGGAGCAAGGGGUGCGCCAAUUGGUUAUUGAAAGUGAUAGUAAAAUGGCUAUGAAUUUUAUACUAGGGAAUGAGAGAGGGUGAAGCUCUUAGUUGGGGUUGGAGAUCUGUAAUUGGAUGGCGAAGGAUUGGUAUGUUAAGCUUUUAUUUGUGCCAAGAACGACAAAUAUGACAGCUGAUACUAUAGCUAAGGAGGUUAGAAGACACACAAUGAGGCUGCUUGUAUUUGCUCAAUCGAUUCCAGUGGUGCAUGAUGCGAUCUUACAAGAUAAGUGUUAAGCAAGUCUAAUUUUAGUUUUUUCCGUUGAACACUGCAAUUUAACUUCCUUUUUGUAGCAAAAAAAAUCGUCAUCAUUAUUUAAUAAAGUUAUAUAAAUGAAAUAUUUUGUUUGGAGUUGAACCACAAAUGAAAAAAAUUUAUAUCAUCUUUUAAACAGUAAAUGUUAAUUUUGUUCUAAUUUGAACUUAUUUGAUGUAGUCGAACUAAAUUGAUUUAAUAAUAAAUGGACUAAUAUGAUUAAGUCCCUAAAAUAAAGGGAUUUCGCAUAUAAUUUUACCAGUAAAAAAGGCAUGUUAGUCUCAUCCCCAAGUAAAUCAAAUUGACAAUGGCAAAUUUUGUGUCUCAUAAUACUAAAAUUGUUGUAGGGUCUCUCUAAAUAUUAUUAAAUAAAUUAAUAUAAUAAAAAAAUUUCAUUAUGAUCUAUUAAAAUUUAUAAUUCAAUUCUAAAAUCCAAAAAUAGAAAAUUGGCUUCAAUCUUGAAACAAAGCAAGGGCAAUGCCAAGGAGUAGGCUGAAGCCUUGGAGCUAUAUGGUCCCUCCAGAAAUUAUAAAAUUGAUUCAAUAAUAAAAUUAUAUUUUAAUCUUUUAAAAUUUUAUAAUUUGAUUCUAGACUUAAAAGUUUAUGAAUUCACCCCUAAUUUCAGUUGGCUAGUUUUUGGAAUCUUAGGGUUCAUUUGGAUGGAUGGUACAUUUACCUGCGGUUAGUGUAAAAACAGCGAUGACAGUGAGAUUAGAUAUUGUUUCGAUACUGUAGUGAUACGUGAUAUUCGUGACAGGUUUUAAAUAUUUAUAAUGAAUCGUUCUUGAAACUAACUAUUAUCACGAUGAAGGUAAGUGGACCUAUCGAACAGUAGUAUAGCUUUAACAAGACCGGAUUGUCGAACCCAAAGGAACUAAAAGUACUAGUAAUGAUUAUCUUUUUGUUAUCUAGCCUAAAAAUAACGGGGUUUGUUUUAACUAACUAAUUAAUUAAACUAAGAAAUCACAGAAGAGAAAUUUGGGGAAAAUACUUUUUGAAAAAUUCGAUUGAUUAAGACAAUACCUAAGGAAAAAUCCACCUAGACUUCACUUGUUAUUUGACUCUGAAUCGGAUGAUUUAUUCAUUCAACUUGUUCCGUAGAGAUCCCUAAGUUAUAUUAUUAUCUCUCUCGAGACAAACAACGUCUAACCCUAGUUUGAAUAAUUGAAAUCUCUUUCUAAUUAACGCCCUAGGGCUACAUUAACUCGAUCUAUGGAUCCCCUUAUUAGGUUUCACCCUAAUCCGGCAAAAUCUUGUCACCCUAUCUCUAGGCACGCAACCAACUCCGCUUAAUUAUGAUAAAUUUACUCUUAGACAAUGUCUAUUCCUCCUCUAAAUAAGAGCGUAACUUGAAUCAGUAUCUUGGAAUAUCAAAACAAGAAUUAAGAACACAUAAUUAAGAACAAGUCAAAUAUUUAUCAUACAAUUCAGAUAAUAAUAACAAGAUCUGUCUUACGUUUCAUUCCCCUUAGGUAUUUAGGGGUUUUAGUUCAUAACUAAAAAGGUAAACAUCUCAAAAGAAUAAUGAUUACAAAACAUCAAGAAAACCCAAAACACCUGAAGGGAAAUUUAGGGGAGAUCUUCAGUCUUGAUGAUGAAUUCGGCUUCUGAGAUGGAUCGAUCGGCUUUCCUUGUAACAUUCUGAAAUAGGGCCUAAACGGAAUAGUGGUUGCGAAACCACAAAUUCGGGGUAGAAAAAUUUAUUUUAUUAUUAUUUUGAGGUUCAUGGUAUGAUUACAUGAUUGUUCGAAAAUUUCGUGAUAAAAUUCUAUGCAUAAAGUGCUUAAGUUGAGGUUAGGGACUAAAUCGAAUAAUUUGCAAAACUUGCAUUCUAGAAGUUUUUAGUAUGAAAUUGUUUUGGAAUAUUAAUUAGGAGAUCUUAAAUGGUAAUUUGACCAAUUUUAAGUUCAUGGACAAAAUUAGGACAUGGAAGGAAUUUUUGAAAGUUUAGUAAGGAGGGGCAUUUUGGUCAUUUGGUUAUUAACAUUAAUAAAAAGGUAAAAAGAUGACAAAAUUGUAUCAUCUUCUUCAAGUUACCAGCCGAACCUUAACUCUCUCCAUAGCUGGGGUUUCUUCAACUUUCAAGCUUCAUAGUAAGUGAUUCCAAGCCCCGUUUUUAAUGAUCUUUACGUUUUUAAAGUUUCAGUAGCUCGAUAAAGCUUAUGCUGGCAAUAAUUUAAGUUAGGAAUCAAAUUUGGAAAAAUACCCAUAGGUGAAAUUUGUGUAUUUUGAUGUUUUAUGAUGGAAUAUGAGGUUUUAAAUUAUGUUAGACAACUUAUGCUACUUGGUUUUAAGUGAAAACGAGUAAAAAGGCUUAAUCGGUAAAAAUACCUAAUAAUCAUAAGUACAUGUUAGUGUGUGAAUUUGAUGUUGUCAUAGAAGGGAAAAAUGAUCAGCAUGUCAUAAAACAUAAAAAAAUAGGAUGAAGUUUAAUUUACGAGCCUUGGGGCAAAAGUGCAAAUAUGUGAAAGUUUAGGGGAAAAAUGUAAAUUAUCCAAAGUUUGAGUAAAGGGCUGUUUUGAUAAAUUUUGAUAUUAAAUAAGCUAAAUUUUCUAUUAUAGAUCAAGAAGAACGAAAUUCGGGAGUAGAUCAGGGAAAAGAAAAAGUAAAGGACUAAAUUGUAAAGUUUAGUCACAUUUUGUAUCGAGGUAAGUUUACAGUAAAUAAAUGCAAUAUUCUUUUAUUUUAUAUUAUUAUUGUCAAUUUCCAGCAUUUAUAUAUUUAUGUUAUGAAAAUAUUUAAAGUCGAAUUUAAGGUGAAGUGACAGAGGAAAAGUGUUAGAAAGUCCCGGUUGAACCCUAGGAAUGUUAGGAUAUUAGGGUUGACAGGACAGAACAGAAAUGAGCCAUGUAAGUCCAUGUUAGAAAUAUGGCUUUGGAGAUAGGAUUGAGCCAUGUAAGCCCAUAUUAUAUAUGGCAUUGGAGACAGGAAUAAUUCAUGUAAGUCCAUGUCAAAGACAUGGCAUUGGCAGGAUAUUGAUAGACAGGAACGACCCUAGUAUCCUUAGUAUUCCGAGUGGUUCAACGGGUCAGGAUACGAGUUAAAUUACAGUGAAUUAAUAGCAAAGGAAAAGUAGAUUAUAUUUAUGAAAAAGGAAAGGUCAGGUAAGAAAGAAGAUAAGGGAAUAAAGAAGAAGAUAGAAAUUGAGAAGUAAAGAAAUUUAUGAUGUUAGAUGAUAUUAUGCAUAAUUAUCCAUUAUGUUGAAUGUUGUGAUUUAUUUUCUUGUAAGCUUACUAAGCCUAGUGCUUAAUCUCUUUAUUUUCUUCUUCUUAUAGUACUUAUCUAGCCACUCUGGGAUCGAAGGAAACGUCGGAGGCCGAUCACACUAUCAAAGAAAUAACUCGGUAUAAUUAGACGUUUUGUUUUGUGUAUGGCAUGUAUAGAAACUUAGCUACUUUUGGUAUAAUAUGAACAAUGAAUGAUGUUUAAAUACUUGCUAGUGAUUAGCUAAUAAAAAUGGCCGAUGAUAUGCAUGUUUAUUAAUAUGUAUGAUUGAAUGGUGAUUAUCACAUGAAAAUUAUGAAAAAUGUGAAAGUAACCUAAAAACAGAUUCAAGUAACAGAAAUGACGUAACUUUGAAAAAUCACUAAAAAUUUUAGAAACAUAUUUUGAAGAUGAAUAAUAUAUGAAAUUAAAUCUUAUUAUGUCUAUUUUCUUAUGGAAUAAGCAAAACAGGUAAAGGUAUUAUAUUUUAUGAGAUAUCUGAGUUUUAGUGAAACAGGGUCAGAGCGAUUUCUGGAUCCCCUGUUUCAACUUUGGAAAUUCACCAUAAAUUGUACAAAACUAAUUAGAAGGUUUACUUUAUAUGGUUAUAAUCCUUGUUGAGUCUAGUUUUAAGAGAAACAAACGGCUUAGUGAUAUAAAUUUUUUACAGGAAGAAACAUGGUUCGUAGUAAGAAGAGGUUAGUGCAGUCAAGUUUUGAAAUAGGGGAAACUUUAACUAAUAAAAUGUACCAAUUGGCCAAGUCAAAAAAUCUAUGAAAAAAAUUAGUAGAUAGAUAUAUGAGUCUAGUUUUAGCAAAAAUUUACGGAUCUUAAUUUCGAGUUUCGGAACUCAAGAUAUGAAUUUUUAGGCGACUACAACGCAGAAUGGCAGCACAUUCUGAAAAGCUUAAAUAAACAAUUUAAAACUAUUUAAGUGAUAGAUUAAGUUUAGUAAUGCCUCGUGCUCGAUUCUGGCAACAGUCUCGGGUAAGGAUUGUUACAUUCCUUGAGCAAUUCCUUGCUCCCUCCUGUGUGUCCUCCUUUCCUCCUCCUUUAGGGUGUAGUUAUAGGCUUUGGAAUGCCUAAGAGCCCUCAAAAGUAGCCUUUUCCGAAUAGGAUUAAACUUGGGCUCAAUAGGGACACGCCCAUGUGCGAUUACUUCAAGCCGUGGUCAAGCCUAUUAAAUAGGCACGAGCGUGUGGUCUACCCGUGUGAGUCGUGCUUCGAUUCUAUCAAAUUGACACAGCCGUGUGGUCUGCCCAUGUGAGGAAGUCCAGGCCAUGUUGAUUUUGUACAUUGGCCCAUUUUCUCCGUUUUUGGCCUGUUUCUCGUUCCUUUCACUCUCCUAUGCUCACCUAAGUAUAAAACAUGAAAUUAAGGCAUUAGGAGCAUCGAAUUCACCCAUUUUAAGGAAAAAUCAUCCAUAAAACGUGCUAAACAUGGGAUAGAAAUAUGUAUAAAUUACGGUUUAUCAUGUAGCAUGAGAUAAAAGGAAAACUAAAUGCACCGCACUGGAGAUAAAUGCCUAUCCAGAAGAACCCUUAGUUUCCUUGAGUCGCAAGUUAAUCUUUAUGGAUUUUGAAAGAGAUGGUUAGUAUUUGAGUUUCUAAGGAACAAUAUGAACCCCAAAACAAGAAGAUUCAAAAAGAGGGGUAUUGCAAUAUAAGCAAAAUUUUCUACACUAUAUGUGUUUGCAAUCAAUGUGAAUGAUGAAUUUGCCUAACAAUUAAGGCUAGCUAAUGAUUUAGUACAUUAAGAAUUGUUAUAUUAGUAAUGUUUUAACAAUCGGAUCUAUAAUUGAAUUGGUCAAAUAAUCGACCCUCGAUCCAAAUCAAUCUAAUUGUUGAUUCAAUCAUUUAAAAUUUUCAUAAAAUUUAACAACCAGAUUAAGAAAAAGCUAAAAAAAUGAAAAUAAAAAUAAGGGUAAAUUACACUAUAGAUCACUCUAAAAGAGCGUCAUUUCUAUUUUGGUCAUUUAAUUUUUUUUUCAAUUUAAUCACUCUAAUUAAUAUAAUUGUUCAAAUUGGUCACUGCCGUUAAAAAUUCCGUUAAUCCACUAACAAAUUGCUAACAUGACCUUUUUAUACUUUUGACUAAAGCUAGGAACCUCUUUGUAAUUAGUCUAAAACACUUUUUUAUUUAUUUGCAACAUAAAACUAAAGCUUGUAAGUUUUUUUUUUCCUUCUUGUUGUAGUUUGUUUCCAGGGAAAAGUAAUAGAGGAAAAUGAUGAUAGUUUUGACUUUUCCAAAACAACCCAUGUUCUAGUUUCUUACUCAAUAACCUUAUCACUCUCUUUUUUCUCUCUUAACCAUUUUAAGAGAAAACAUGCAAAGGAGAGAAUAAAAGAGAAAACUCAUACGUCCCUUUAAAAAACCUUAAAAUCUUCUCUCAAAGUACCCUCAAAAUCAUCCUUUCAUUAUUAAUAUUCAAUAACCGAUAACAAUAAUAUAAUUACUAUGAAAAAGAAAAUGACAAGAAAUAUUUAUAUCAGAAAAACAAAUAUAGUUUGGAAGAAUUAUUGUUUUUAACCAGAAAAGUUGAACACCCAACAAAACCAGAUUUGUUAAUAAACCAAACAUAGACAGAGAAAUAGGACACAACCUAGUUCUAGAAAUUUAAGAAUUAAGGGGAAAAACUAAAAUUUUCAUUUUUAAAAAAUGGAAAAGAAAAACUUAUUAGACUAAGAUCAAAUCUUGAAGAUAGUACUCGUGAAUCUCCCUAUCUUGCUACUUGUAUUUUAUUUUAAUAAGAAUUUAGAUCACAACUCUAACACCUGCAGCACAACAAGAAAGCAUGAAACAAUUUGCUUAUCCAUUCAACUUGAAAACAAUACACUUAAGUAUAUAUAUAUAUAUAUCAAAUACACAACUACUCCCACUAAUGACUUGGAAACAAACAAAACUUAACUCGCAUACAAGUUGAUUAUGUUAAUCGGCACCUAAACACAUCAAAUAACUUAACAAUUAAAUUCAUUUUCAACUACAUAACAUAACAAAGCAACUAAACAAACGAAACCAAAAACAGCAUGCAUCAAAGGCAUCAUCUCGCAGCUCGCAACUCGCAACUUGCUUGCAUGUAGCUUGCAGUUCACAGUUCGCAGCUUGCAUGCAGCUCAUAGUUCACAGUUCAGUGUCAGCUCGCACUUUGUCACUUGUAGAAACUUAUCACAUUUUGCCACUUCUGACAUGUGAAAGAGUUGUUGUAUGAUUGUCCAAUUUCUAAUAAUUUGGAGCAAAAAAUUACCCAUAAUCAAAAUAAGGCAAAAUACACUUAUGGGAAGAGUUUUAGUGCCUUGCCUUAUAUGCCAAGUCUAUACUCAAACACACGCCAACUGAAUAUCUCAAUAUCUCGAAUCUAGCAACUUCAAUGCUCUUGGUAAAUAGAUUUGUCAGUUGAUUCUUAGUUGAAACAUACUUCAAUUUAAAGGUUCCAUUCCCCACUAACUCUUUGAUGAAAAGUUGUUUUAUAAUAUGUCUGGUCCUUGAAUGAAGCACUGAAUUCUUCGAUAUAUUGAUGGACUUUUUUCAUCUUAAUAGCAAAUUAACAGAAAGGUCUCUAUUUAAUGCAUCAAGGGUCUAGUUUCAAUACCAACUGAGAAUUUUUUUUAAUUUACUUCUCAAAUUUUCGUUCAAUUGUAACUAAAUGAACUUACUAACAAUUAUAAAAUAGAGAAGGAUACAGAAGCUUAGUUACACAAUUCGAAAAUUUCCUACAUCUAUAAAAUCUUACUUAAAAAAUAAUCCACUAUAAAUUAAAUUGUACAAGAUGUGAUUUAAGUCCAACAAUUUUGUCAAAAUUAAGUCCAACAGUUUUGUCAAAAUUUGCUGGUCACUAAUGACAAGUUCUUUCACUUUAACUUGGCAGCUAAUUUCGUGGCUACAUGUUAGCUCAUUGAUUUUUUUUUCCCUUAAAAACGCGUGUAUUAAAUUGAGACAUUUCCUUAAAUGAGAAGGAGAAGGUGGCCACACUGUCACUCGUGCACAAUAAUUAAGCUUCAUUUCUUUUUUCAUAAAAAAUUUGUCAGCUCAUCUUGUUUGUUGAGAUUAUUGUCAGCUAAAUCGGGUGGGGUGAGCUAACAAAUUUUUCUUUUCAUUUUCAAUAGAAAAUUCAGAACGAGUGGCAGUGGAAUCUUGUGCCUAAUACGCCAUAUCUCAAGCCUGAUAUGUAGGAUCAUUAUUGCAUUUGAAGAAGACAAGAUUCACAGUGCCACUCGUGCACAAAGCUUCGUUUCUUUUAAAAAAAUGCGUUAAGCUCAUCAUGUUUGUUGAGGCUAUUAAGUUGAGUUGAGGGGAGACAUUGAGCAGACAGCGGCAGCAAAAAAUGUCGAAACCCCAAAUCAGUAUCACGUUUGGAUUCAUAGAGAUUUGCAUUUGAGAUUCCUUGUGUCUCCCCCUUUGCCUUUAUUAUAUAUAUAUAAAAUCAUAGCUUAGUGGCAAAGCUGUAUUCACCAUUCACCCUUAUAAGCCUUUUCAUCUUUUAAACCAAAGAACAAAGAUGGGUUCUUCAGCUUUGAACCAAAAAUCCAAUUUCAAUGCUCGUUCAAACAGUUUGCCUUCUAGACCUCAUCCACUUAUUCCUCAAAUAGAUGAGCAUUUACGUAGGCUAAAAUCCGAUGAAUCCGCCGCUUCUUCUUCGUCGAUUACCGGAAAACUAAGUGGUCUAAGAGAUCUGUAUGAGUUGGUUCAUAGUUUGCUUAUCACACAAAAAUCCUUAGCCCAAAACUACAAUGGCAAUAAUGAGUUGUUGCUGAAUGGAUCUCUUAAGCUAUUGGAUGUUUGUGGUUUAGCCAAGGAUGUUUUGUUGCAGGCCAAGGAAGAUACCCAACAACUUCAAUCGAGUUUCCGAAGACGAAGAAGCGGCGACGAUGCCGUUUUCGCAAACGAAGCUAAGGCUUACUUAGCAUCAAGGAAGAAAGCAAACAAGUUAAUAAACAAGUCUUUGAGAGAUUUAAAGAUCAGUAAAUGUGUCUUUGCUGAUGUUGAUGAACCUACAUGUAGCAUGUUGAGAGAUGUUGAAGGGGUUACUUUUGCAGUGUUCGAAUCGGUUUUUUCCUAUAUAACAGCGACAAUACCGGAACCGAAAUCGAACAACUGGUCCUUGGUGUCGAAGUUGAUGCACUCGAAACGUGUAACCUGUGAGGGACGAGUGUCGGGGACGAACGAAUUCGAGAGAGUGAAUGCAAUGUUGUGUGGUCUAAUUGGGUAUAAGAGUAAGAAAUGUGGUGAUAUGAGCAAUGAGAAUGCAGUGAUUGAGUUGCAGAAACUUGAGACAAGCAUUGAAGAUGUUGAAGAUGGAAUUGAAUGUGUGCUUAGGCUUUUGAUUAAAACUAGAGUUUCGAUUCUCAAUAUCCUUAGCCAUUGAUUGAAGAAAAUCAUAUCAGAUGGCAUUUUCAAAAGGGAAAAGAAAUUCCCACGAUUUUUAUGUACACUCCUUGUAUAAAGCUAAACAAAUACAUGUAUAAUACUUGAUUGAUCCUAAAUAUGAAUGCUACAAUUUUCUUGAACAAAUUUACAUCAUUCUUUGGUUUUUUUUAAUAUAUUUGGGAUUUGUUUUUCUUAAGAAAGUUACAUUUGAUUUUGAAAAUAUAAUAAUAAUAAGGGUAAACAAUCAAAAUAGUCACUUUUGUUUACUUAUGUUAUAUUUUAGUCACUUACGUUAUCGUGUUGUAACAUUUUAGUCACCGAGCCAUUAAUUGUCGUUAAUGUUGUAAUGAUAAGCUGACAUGACACGUUAAAUAAUCAUUUCAAAUAAAAAUUUUAGGUUAAUUUAUACAAUCAGUUCCCAUAUUUUUUCGUUUUGAGUAAUUAAUUUUUUUUCCUUUUACAUUCUUUUAACUUUUUCUUUUCUUUUUUUCCCAUUCUCUUCUACUUCUCUCUUUAUUUUCCUCCCUUCUCCAUUUUCUUUAAUUAACGUAGUUUUUCUAUAUUUUUUAUUUGUUAAAACUAAUCCCUAUAUUUUUACUUUUCCGAGUGAGGUGAGCUUGUAGACUAGUUUUAACAAGUGGAAAACAUUAAAAAACUAUGUUGGAAGAAAUGAAGGGAGAAAAACAGAGGGAGAAGCAGAAGAGAAUGAAAAAUAAAGAAAAAAAAAGAAAGUUGAAAGAACAUAAAAAAUUAAAUGGCUUAAAAUGAAAAAAUAGAGGGAUCAAUUGUAAAAUUUAACCUAAAAUUUUUUAUUGAAAUGAUGAUUUAACUUGCCACGUCAACUUACCAUUACACCGCUAAUGGCAAUUAACAGCUCAAUAACUAAAAUGUUACAACACGAUAACGUAAGUGUCUAAAAGUAACAUUUCAAACAUAAGUGACUAAAAUGUAACCUGAGACAAACAAAAGCGACUAUUUUGAUAGUUUACCGUAAUAAUUAAAUCAUCAACUUGUAUAUCUAUGAUAUUAAUCUAAAAUCAUUACUGAGUUGAUGUCACAAAUUAACUAAGCACCAAAUUAGCAUCAACUUAUAUAUCAAUACUAUUAUUAUUUUGAUGACCUCUAUCUCUUUUCAUACUUUUAUAUAGUUUUUAAAUUAAAGAAUUAAAAUUAAUAUGUUAGGUGAUUCAACCCAUGUUUAAUGGGUUUAUAAAAAAAAAUUAUCAUUACAAUAAUAAUUCUUAAGUGAACUUUAAAAAAUUUAAUUUUUAGCAUAAAAUAUUUUGUCUCAUAGGCCCAUUUCGCCCGGGCCCGUUAGAGUCUAAAAAACCUAAAACUAGAAACAAAAAAUAAUAAUAAACCGAAAUAAAAAAACCAUAAAAAUCCAUUAAGUCCAAAACAGUCCUUAAACCCUUAGCCCAUUACAUUAGACCCAGUCCUGGCCCAAUUAUUAAACCUAAGGCUAACCUUAGCCCAAACCCUAGUUUGCUGAUUAGCGCCGCAGCAAUGGUCUUCGCCCCUAGCCGUCCGUUUUCAAAGCAGGUCUAUAGAGCCCAAACAUUGAAGAUUCUGGAAUACGCUACAGCAGCGCCAAAGGGUCGGACUUGCACGAGCAGUUUCCCAGGCAUGGCUUCCACGUCACCAAGUCUCCUUUUCCAUACAGCCACACCUGCAACAGAAUACACGAGAAGCAGCUAACAGAAUACAUAGCCAAAUGACAGAAGGAAAAUAUAAUUUUUAUUUUUUUAUUUAUUUUGUAAACUCGGCUAUAAAAAGCCAUCAUUUGUAUUCUGUAAAGCUUACGCACACUGAAAUACGCAUACUGAAUAGAAAAAUUCAAAAGCAAUUUCUGAGAAGGUGAUCUCUGUUUUUUAGUCUCUUUAAUUUUCUGUUAAUUAUUUUAUUUAUUUCCUUCGAUUUUUUUUUCAUCAUUUGCAUUUAAAAAACAAAAGUGAGAGGAGAAAGGUGAUCGUACCUUGUGAUUAGGCCGUCAGUUCUCUUUCGCUUCGUCGAAAUCAAAGCUUAAAGGGAAUUUCGAGGCUAAAAAACAAUUCUUCGAAGCCCGAGAACGCUGGUCGCCGUUCGUGGUGGCAGAUCAGUGUUUGAAGGAGAGAACGUAGGGUUGCUGGUUGGGAAGAAAAGGAGGCUAGGGUUGGUUCGGCUGAAUGGCCUGGUUUGAGCCGUUAUAAAUGACUAAAAAUGACGCCGUUUUGAGCCUGAUUCAAGGGCUCCAAAACGGUGUCGUGUUAACUAUACCCGACCCGAUCUGAUUCUUUGCCCCUAGGAUCCGCGCGUUCUUGCGGAGAGGGGAUAAUUGCGCACUGAGUCCUUCCUUUUCACGUGAUCAUUCAAUUACAUGUUAUUUGUUUUAUUUCAUUUUUUAAUUUGGCUUUGUAAUUUGCGCAUAUUUGCAAUUGGGUCCGCGCCUCAACACAGUGUUUUGGGGUCUAGAACAUUUCCAGCUUUAGUCCCUAUGCAUUUGCACGCAUUGCGCGUUGGUCAUCAUUUUAAUUUCAAAAGUUUAUUUCCUUUGUAAAUUAUCCAUUUUAUUUUUAUUUUAAUUUUAUUUUUAUUUUAAUUAAGUUUUUUAAUCAUUUUUUAAGAUUCAUUUCACAUUCAUUU
rnacentral:lncRNA from 1 species